GGGACUACGGGGGUUUCUAAUCCCUUUCGCUCCCCUAGCUCUCGUCCCUCAGUGUCAGUUCAGGCCCAGUAGAGCGCUUUCGCCACCGGUGUUCUUCCCAAUAUCUACGCAUUUCACCGCUACACUGGGAAUUCCCUCUACCCCUACCAAACUCUAGUUAACCAGUUUCUAUCGCCCUUACGAAGUUUAGCUCCGCGCUUUAACAACAGACUUGAUUAACCACCUGCGGACGCUUUACGCCCAAUAAUUCCGGAUAACGCUUGCAUCCUCCGUAUUACCGCGGCGGCUGACAC
rnacentral:misc_RNA from 1 species